rnacentral:miRNA from 1 species
UUUAUAAUAUAUAAACAAAAGAUCACCCGAGAUCCCAAGAGGAAGGAUCUCAAGGCCUAUCUAGGGAUCUCGGGUGAUAUUUUGUUUAUAUGU